AAGAUGAAGGCGAUGGGCCGCUUCUUCGAUGAAGGCGACAAGGUCAAGGUGACGCUGAAGUUCCGCGGGCGUGAAAUGGCCCACCAGGAACUCGGCAUGAAGCUUCUUCAGCAGGUCAAGGCCGACACGACCGAGAUCGCCAAGGUGGAGGCCGAGCCCAAGCUCGAAGGCCGCCAGAUGAUGAUGGUGCUGGCGCCGAAGUAAGCGCCAGAUACUUUUUCGCCCCAAGGCCGUCCGCAAGGGCGGCUUUUGUGCUUUGCGCCACCGUAUUAUGGGCCUUUGUUUCAUGCAUGUCGUUAUCCCGGA
rnacentral:misc_RNA from 1 species